rnacentral:rRNA from 1 species
UACGGGGGGUGCAAACGUUGUUCGGAAUCAUUGGGCGUAAAGCGCGCGUAGGCGGCCUGUUAUGUCGGAUGUGAAAGCCCGUGGCUCAACCGCGGAAGUGCAUUCGAAACUGGCUGGCUAGAGUCCGAAAGAGGGUCGUGGAAUUCCCGGUGUAGAGGUGAAAUUCGUAGAUAUCGGGAAGAACACCGGUGGCGAAGGCGGCGACCUGGGUAGAUACUGACGCUGAGGCGCGAAAGCGUGGGGAGCAAACAGG